GACGAACGCUGGCGGCGUGCUUAACACAUGCAAGUCGAACGCUGAAGCUUGGUGCUUGCACUGGGUGGGUGAGUGGCGCACGGGUGAGUAAUACGUGAGUAACCUGCCCUUGACUCUGGGAUAAGCCUGGGACACUGGGUCUAAUACUGGAUACGACAUGUCACCGCAUGGUGGUGUGUGGAAAGGGUUUUACUGGUUUUGGAUGGGCUCACGGCCUAUCAGCUUGUUGGUGGGGUAAUGGCUCACCAAGGCGACGACGGGUAGCCGGCCUGAGAGGGUGACCGGCCACACUGGGACUGAGACACGGCCCAGACUCCUACGGGAGGCAGCAGUGGGGAAUAUUGCACAAUGGGCGGAAGCCUGAUGCAGCGACGCCGCGUGAGGGAUGACGGCCUUCGGGUUGUAAACCUCUUUCAGCACGGAAGAAGCGAAAGUGACGGUACGUGCAGAAGAAGCGCCGGCUAACUACGUG
rnacentral:rRNA from 1 species